CGAGCGGCGAACGGGUGAGUAACACGUGGGUGAUCUGCCCUGUACUUCGGGAUAAGCCUGGGAAACUGGGUCUAAUACCGGAUAUGACCUUGGACUGCAUGGUCUUUGGUGGAAAGAUUUAUCGGUACAGGAUGGGCCCGCGGCCUAUCAGCUUGUUGGUGGGGUAAUGGCCUACCAAGGCGACGACGGGUAGCCGGCCUGAGAGGGCGACCGGCCACACUGGGACUGAGACACGGCCCAGACUCCUACGGGAGGCAGCAGUGGGGAAUAUUGCACAAUGGGCGAAAGCCUGAUGCAGCGACGCCGCGUGAGGGAUGACGGCCUUCGGGUUGUAAACCUCUUUCGACAGGGACGAAGCGCAAGUGACGGUACCUGUAGAAGAAGCACCGGCCAACUACGUGCCAGCAGCCGCGGUAAUACGUAGGGUGCGAGCGUUGUCCGGAAUUACUGGGCGUAAAGAGCUUGUAGGCGGUUCGUCGCGUCGUUCGUGAAAACUUGGGGCUCAACCCCAAGCUUGCGGGCGAUACGGGCGGACUAGAGUACUUCAGGGGAGACUGGAAUUCCUGGUGUAGCGGUGAAAUGCGCAGAUAUCAGGAGGAACACCGGUGGCGAAGGCGGGUCUCUGGGAAGUAACUGACGCUGAGAAGCGAAAGCGUGGGUAGCGAACAGGAUUAGAUACCCUGGUAGUCCACGC
rnacentral:rRNA from 1 species